AAUGCUGCCUAGUGGACUACUCUA
rnacentral:siRNA from 1 species